UCCUUGGUAGCUCAGUGGUAGAGCAGGCGACUGUUAAUCGCCCGGUCGUAAGUUCGAAUCUUACCCAAGGAGCCA
rnacentral:tRNA from 1 species